CCCCGACAGCCGGGGCCGGAGGAGAGAGAAGCUAAGGAGGAGCGGCGAAGGACGCCGCGGGUUGGGGCGGCCACCGGCUGGAGGAAGGCGGGGCGGAGGGCUGCAGGGCGGGGUAAGGACUGGGGCUGGCCGGCCGGCCGCAUGCGCGCGCGGCUUUGGAAGAGUUUAAAGAACGCUGUACUCAGUGUGCUGCUGUCUCAUGGGGUCUUACUGAUGAAGGCAAAUAUUAUUGCACUAAUUGCCACAAUGUUACAGAGAGAUCUCAGGAAGUUACAAGCACUGAUCUUAUUCCUAAUACCCAAAUAAAAGCCCUCAACCGGGGGCUUAAAAAAAAAAGCAAUACUGAAAAAGGCUGGGAUUGGUAUGUGUGUGAAGGUUUCCAGUACAUUCUUUAUCAACAAGCAGAAGCCUUAAAGAACCUUGGAGUAGGCCCAGAGUUAAAGAAUGAUGUUUUACAUAAUUUUUGGAAGCGCUACCUUCAGAAGAGCAAGCAGGCAUAUUGUAAAAACCCAGUUUAUACCACUGGAAGGAAACCUACGGUAUUAGAAGAUAAUCUAAGUCAGUCAGACUGGGCUAGUGAGCCUGAGCUGCUAAGUGAUGUCAGCUGUCCUCCUUUUCUUGAAAGUGGAGCGGAGUCUCAGUCUGACAUCCACACUCGAAAACCUUUCCCCAUCAGCAAA
rnacentral:sRNA from 1 species